UGGGGAAUAUUGCACAAUGGGCGCAAGCCUGAUGCAGCCAUGCCGCGUGUAUGAAGAAGGCCUUCGGGUUGUAAAGUACUUUCAGUCGGGAGGAAGGUGUCAAGGUUAAUAACCUUGGCAAUUGACGUUACCGACAGAAGAAGCACCGGCUAACUCCGUGCCAGCAGCCGCGGUAAUACGGAGGGUGCAAGCGUUAAUCGGAAUUACUGGGCGUAAAGCGCACGCAGGCGGUUGAUUGAGUCAGAUGUGAAAUCCCCAGGCUUAACCCGGGAAUUGCAUCUGAUACUGGACAGCUAGAGUCUUGUAGAGGGGGGUAGAAUUCCAUGUGUAGCGGUGAAAUGCGUAGAGAUGUGGAGGAAUACCGGUGGCGAAGGCGGCCCCCUGGACAAAGACUGACGCUCAGGUGCGAAAGCGUGGGGAGCAAACAGG
rnacentral:rRNA from 1 species